rnacentral:rRNA from 1 species
GGAUCAAAUUGUCGGUCGUGCCUCGGUACGAACUGGUAUUAUUGAUUCCUACCUUCUGACGAACCAUGAUGUCAUUAAUUUGGUGUCUUGGGGAAUCAGGACUGUUACUUUGAAAAAAUUAGAGUGUUUAAAGCAGGCUCACGCUUGAAUACAUUAGCAUGGAAUAACGAAAUUGGACGCUUGAUUCUAUUUUGUUGGUUUCUAGAGUCGCCGUA